UCUCCGUUGGUGAACCAGCGGAGGGAUCAUUAUCGAGUUUAUAACUCCCAAACCCUAUGUGAACUUACCGCUUGUUGCUUCGGCGCGCGCUUCGGCGCCGCCGAGGACACUUAAACUCUUUGUUUUUAUAAGCAUUUCUGAGUGGCCGAAAGGCAAAAUACAAAUGAAUCAAAACUUUCAACAACGGAUCUCAUGGUUCUG
rnacentral:misc_RNA from 1 species